rnacentral:rRNA from 1 species
CAAAAACAUAGCUGUGUGAUACCCCUCACAGUACUUUCUGCUCAAUGAGUGUUAAAUAGCCGCAGUACCCUGACUGUGCAAAGGUAGCGAAAUCAGUUGGCUUCUAAUUAAAGUCUCGUAUCAACGAAUAUAUGGGGGCCUACUAUACCAGUAGUACCACGCGAAUUUACUUAAGGAGUGCAAAUUCUCCUGCAACUUAAUAGACGAGAAGACCCUAGAAAUUUUUACGAACGUUUUUGUUGGGGCAACAUAGUAACAGAGAAUUUACUCUAUGGACACGAAAAAUAUUGGAAAGCGCAAAUUACUCUAGGGAUAACAGCAUAAUGUAUAAGCGUUUGUGACCUCGAUGUUGGAUUAGGGAGUUAUAGCCUAGAAGGUGUUUCAUUUUGCUCUGUUCGAGCA